CCUACGGGAGGCAGCAGUGGGGAAUAUUGGGCAAUGGGCGCAAGCCUGACCCAGCAACGCCGCGUGAAGGAAGAAGGCCCUCGGGUUGUAAACUUCUUUUAUCAAGGACGAAACAAAUGACGGUACUUUAUGAAUAAGCCACGGCUAACUACGUGCCAGCAGCCGCGGUAAUACGUAGGUGGCAAGCGUUAUCCGGAUUUACUGGGUGUAAAGGGCGAGUAGGCGGGACUGCAAGUCAGAUGUGAAAACCAUGGGAUCAACCCAUGGCCUGCAUUUGAAACUGUAGUUCUUGAGUGUUUGUGAGGCAGGCGGAAUGCCGUGUGUAGCGGUGAAAUGCGUAGAUAUACGGAGGAACACCAGUGGCGAAGGCGGCCUGCUGGACAAUAACUGACGCUGAGGCGCGAAAGCGUGGGGAGCAAACAGGAUUAGAUACCCUUGUAGUC
rnacentral:rRNA from 1 species